GGGAAAAUGUGGCACAUAUACACCAUGGAAUAUUAUGCAGCAAUCAGAAAUGAUGAGUUCGUGUCAUUUGUAGGGACAUGGAUGAAUCUGGAGAACAUCAUUCUCAGCAAACUGACACAAGAACAGAAAAUGAAACACCGCAUAUUCUCACUCAUAGGCGGGUGAUGAAAAAUGAGAACACAUGGACACAGAGAGGGGAGUACUAAACACUGGGGUCUAUGGGGGGGAAAGGGGGGGGGCCGGGGGGGGGGGGGGGGGGGGAGGGAUAGCCUGGGGAGAAAUGCCAAAUGUGGGUGAAGGGGAGAAAGCAAACAAAACACACUGCCAUGUGUGUACGUAUGCGACUGUAUUGCAUGCUCUGCACAUGUACCCCAAAACCAAAAAACCAAAAAAAUUGUUUUAUCACCUAGAAAAAAAUUAUAUUUUCUUCUGAUAUGUAAGAACUUCGAAUAUAAGACAUCAUUUAAAAGUUUAUAAUUGACAUAGCCAGGGAUUAGAAAUAAUAUCACACAAAAUAUGUUUUUAAUGUAAGAAAUUAUUCUCCAGGAUAGACCAUACUGAUUUGUCCAGUCCAGCCCUCUGUUCUGGAAGCAACACAUGAAAAUGCAGAGAAAGAAAAAUAAUCUCUAUGACCUGGCCCGUUAAACAUGUAUUUAUUUCCUGAGUAAUGAUUAGGUGCCAGCUGUAAUGGGCUACUGAGUGAAGGACAGUGGUCAAACCCUCUUAUGAUGUAUGCCAGAAUAUGGCAGACACUGGAAAGAUAUGAAAGAUGUGAGGGCACAAAAAAGGAAGUUGGAGUCACAUUAGUCACAGGACUAAGCCUCUUUGGAGCAGGAGACUUGCAAGUUUUGAAGGAGAGUAGAAUCUAUUCAGAAAGAAAUUGCAGGGAGGUCCUUCCAGUCUGAAUGAAGAUUAACUUGGCAUAAUGUAACUGGCAUCAUGGCCAUGACAUCUGAGAGGUUAUGAAGGCCUCCACUUGGGUGGUGGCAAUCAGCACAGAAAUGGUUAACACACGCUGGACCUAGCAGGCUUUAUGGGUUGGGAGAUGAACACAAAAGCACGAGGAACAAAAAAGAGGAUGACUGAGAAAAUCUGAGCCCAGAAAAUACCAGGGCCAGUAAGGGAAAUAAGGAAGCUGAAAGGAGAUAAGGGUUGGAGUUCCGAAGACAGGGAGAGACAGAUGAUGUUUAGUUUCUGACCUGCUGAGGUGUAGAUGCUUGUAAUACAGAGAGACAAGGCUAGAAAUGGGAGGAUGAAGUUUGAUAAAAGAACCAGGAAAACUUGGCAAGACUUCAGCCUCCCUUCUUAAUUAUCAUACUGUGAAUCCAUAAUCCAUAAAUUUUAUGUAAAGCAUUUUGGAAUCUUUCCUAAAAGUUUUUGAUUAUUUGUAUAAAUCUUAACAUGUCACUUGCAAAUAACAUUCCUUUUUAACAUCCAAUGUCUACUUAAUCAACUAAGAAUUGUUUUCUGUGUACAGUUUACUCAAGGUUGAUUCCAUCCUGCUCUUACAUCCCAGCUGGUGUUGGGUCCUAAACUUAACUCUGAGAAUUUCAGUUGGGCUACAGAGGAAAUAAGUCUAACUAACGAUGCCUUCUUGUCGGGCAAAUAAUUUCCUUUUGAAAUUCUAUAGCAAAAGCACAACAAUAAAGCAUUGGUUCCACUUUUAAAUAAAUAAGGG
rnacentral:lncRNA from 13 species